AUUGAACGCUGGCGGAAUGCUUUACACAUGCAAGUCGAACGGUAGAGGGGGCAACCCCUUGAGAGUGGCGAACGGGUGAGUAAUAUAUCGGAACGUGCCCAGUCGUGGGGGAUAACGUAGUGAAAAUUACGCUAAUACCGCAUACGAUCUAAGGAUGAAAGCGGGGGAUCGCAAGACCUCGCCCGAUUGGAGCGGCCGAAACCAGAUUAGGUAGUUGGUAGGGUAAAGGCCUACCAAGCCAACGAUCUGUAGCUGGUCUGAGAGGACGACCAGCCACACUGGAACUGAGACACGGUCCAGACUCCUACGGGAGGCAGCAGUGGGGAAUUUUGGACAAUGGGCGAAAGCCUGAUCCAGCCAUUCCGCGUGCAGGAUGAAGGCCCUCGGGUUGUAAACUGCUUUUGUACAGAACGAAAAGGUCUCUAUUAAUACUAGGGGCUCAUGACGGUACUGUAAGAAUAAGCACCGGCUAACUACGUGCCAGCCGCCGCCGUAA
rnacentral:rRNA from 1 species